UUCACGCCCGAGGAGGAGGCGGAGAUCCGCAGGGAGAACCAGUGGGCUUUUGACAAAGAAUAGCGACAUCUGCUGCGUUGAGUACUUGAAUUAGUGCUUAAGUAAUCGUCAUGUUUACGUUUUGGAGCUAUUUUUUUACUACUUACGUCGUAGUGUUUGUUAUAAUUCUGGAGUAGGUAGUGGGGUCGUGGAAAAACGUAUCGUGGUCAGUGGUUAUUGUUUGGAAACU
rnacentral:lncRNA from 1 species